rnacentral:tRNA from 1 species
GGUUCCAUAGUGUAGCUGUUAUCACGUCUGCUUUACACGCAGAAGGUCUCCAGUUCGAUCCUGGAUGGAACCA